CCUACGGGGGGCAGCAGUAGGGAAUCUUCCACAAUGGGCGCAAGCCUGAUGGAGCAACACCGCGUGAGUGAAGAAGGGUUUCGGCUCGUAAAGCUCUUUUGUUGGAGAAGAACGUGCGUGAGAUUAACAGUUCACGCAGUGACGGUCUCCAACCAGAAAGUCACGGCUAACUACGUGCCAGCAGCCGCGGUAAUACGGAGGUGGCAAGCAUUAUCCGGAGUUAUUGGGGGUAAAGGGUGCGCAGGCGGUUGCUUAGGUCUGAUGUGAAAGCCUUCGGCUCAACCGAAGAAGUGCAUCGGAGACUGGGAGACUUGAGUGCAGAAGAGGAAAAUGGAACUCCAGGUGUAGCGGUGGAAUGCGUAGAUAUAUGGAGGAACACCAGUGGCGAAGGCGGGUGUCUGGACUGUAACUGACGCUGAGGCACGAAAGCAAGGGUAGCGAACGGGAUUAGAUACCCCAGUAGUC
rnacentral:rRNA from 1 species